CCCAGGGGAACCUCCCCUUCCGUCUCCUCGCGUCGUUCACGGCAGAGCAGGCGAACAGGGAUGCUCGCGGAGUCCGGUCGUGGAAGAGGGAGGUGAAAGACUAUGUCUCUUGGAGCCAGUCAUUUUUAAGGGUCGUUACUAUGAGGUGGAUCCAAAGUGGGGGGUGUAGAGGGGGGGGGUCACUCCCCUGAGGAGUUCCCACGGUCGCUUCACCGUCUUCUUAUCACCACGAUAACGAAACACCCGUGGCGAGCUACCUGUGCAAGAAGAUGCUGAUGACAGCCUUAUAAAAGCUCUUAUUUACGCCAAGGACUGAAGAGGUCCAGUAUCAACAUCACGGCGGGAACUGUGCUGUUAAUGGCUCUGCAAAUGCCUGUUUGUCUCCAUGUGAAGGAAGAUGGAUGUGUGAAGAGUCACCUAAGUUCCAGGGAGAAACUGAGCAAGACAGAUUAGUCCCACCUCAGCCUGACACCUGGGGCACGUCCUUAUCUAAGAGGAUGUUUAGGGUCAUGUGCUUUACACCAUGACUGGAAUGGAGCAUGCACCCAAUCAAUCGCCAUGUAUCAGCUGAUGAAAGCUAG
rnacentral:lncRNA from 1 species